ensembl:lncRNA
AGAUUUGACAUCAGUUAUCAUGAUAUCAAUAUUAUAUCAUCAUAUUGUCCAGUCCUACUGCUUAACAUAGAUUUUGUUAGUGAUUUUUGUAAUAUUGGCCUUUACAGUACUCACAUCUUGAAGCCUGUAGUAUGAAAAGAAGCACCCACAAGUAACUUUAUAUAUAUAUAUUACAAGGCAAGGUUCUCUGGUUUCCUGCCACAUUCCCAAAACAUGCCAGUAAAUCAAAUAAAAUUUUUAUUUGCCACAUACAUAACCAUACGUACUAUGACAUGCAGUUAAAUGCUGUUUACGACCACACCGAUAUAUAAAAGAGAAUAAAAUUAUAUAAACUAUAAUAAAGAGGUGUAGGUGGAUUGUCUAUGCUAAAUUGCCCCUAGGUGUGAAUGAGUGAAUGUGCCCUCCCUGUAAUACACCAGUAUUCCAUGAUGUAGGAUGUAUUCCCCCCUCUUCUGUCUAAAAUGUGAAUUGCAAUUGCAGUGACAAGCCAGACCUUACCCUCCAACUGACCUGAAACUUGUAUGCAUCAUGAGCCUUAGCAGUUCUGUUCCAUGUGGGGGACGGAGCUCAUUUCUGGCCCGGAAAAGAUGAAAUGGAAAAAAACUAGCUAGCCAGACCCUGUCAUGGAAAUAUUGUGAAUUGCAGAUUUUUUUUGAAGUAUAUUUAGAACGAUAUGUUUGGAAUAGAUCUGGUAACACUCUUAAACCUUACAAACGGUAAACUCCUCUGUUGCUGCUCCCAAGCCUGGACGAAAACGGAAGGAGCGAGGGGGGGUUGGUUUUCUGCCGAGGGGCUGCAAAACAAAACAUUGGGAAACUACUCUGGAAUGCCAAGAAGUGCCAUGCUUGAUUGCCAACCAUGGAGAAGUAUUGGAAAGCCAAGAAUGCCUGGCAAUGUACUGGCUCCAAGGUCACCCUCAUUCAGAUGCUAACUAGGGACCAAAACAAAGAAACAAACUGCCCCUUUAACCGAUAAACAACACAUAGAACAAAGUCUAUGUUCUUGGCACAGCUCAGCAAUCCUGUCCGAGAUGCAUGGCAGGAGAACCGGGCCAUAUAAAUCAUAUCAUGCAGAGGUAUUGAUCACAAGGUCAGACAGGUCCUGGAGAGGAUGAAUAAGGAAGCAGACUGCACGGAUCGCUGGGAGUGGAGGAGCAGCCUGCACUUUGGCCAGUUCAUAUCACAGCCCAUCUUGUGCCUUAUUUAUAACCACAAGUACUUGACUUCUCAGUUCUAAUGUAGCCUGUGUGUGUGUUUUUAAAAUCAGCACUUAAAUGACUGCUGAUUUAAUGUAAGGGCUGGCCACAGGUAUUUACUAGUAAUUUCAGGUUAACACAUUCAAUAUGAGUGCUAAUUUAAGUACUACUACAGUGUAGUUUGCAGGGCAUUCAAUGAUUUUAAAGAAAUCUGUAUUUCAUUGAAUUCAUUUGUGUAUUUAGUAUAGACCAAAUGUGUUUCAAAUUAUUACUAUAUCUUGUUUAGUUUUUUUUCCAAAAGUAUUACACAAUGCAAUGAUGCAUUUUUAGGUGAUUUUGUAGAAAUAUUUCAAAGGGAAUGUUUUAUUAAAAACAGGAAUAGCCAUUGAAUUUUCUUGUUUUUAACCAGUUCCAUUAAUUUAGUUAUAAACUGUAUAAUAUUGUACUGUGUGUAUAUACAGUAGAGAUUGGUCCUUGUAAAAUCUGGCAAGUGGUUAAAUUUGCACUGAAACCCAUUGUUUGAUUAUAAAGGCUAUUUCCCCCCAUUUCUUUCAUUUUUUUGUUGUUGCAUUUUUAACAUUUAAAAACAGUAUUUACAUGCUGAUGUUAUUUUUUCCUGUUGCAAAUGCUGUUAUGUGAAUAAUUACUUGUGAACAUGAGGGAAAAAUCACAGAUAUAUUUUUUUUGUAACAAUUUAUAACAAUGUAAUUAUGUAACACUUUACAUAAAGUCUAAUUUGAGUAACAUGUUGUUUGCUGU